CUAAGAAUAUUCCGCAAUGGACGGAAGUCUGACGGAGCGACGCCGCGUGGAUGACGAAGGCCGAAAGGUUGUAAAGUUCUUUUGCUGGGGAAGAAUAACCGCAGGAGGGAAUGCCUGUGGGAUGACAAGAACCGGCGAAUAAGCCCCGGCCAACUACGUGCCAGCAGCCGCGGUAACACGUAGGGGGCGAGCGUUGUUCGGAAUUACUGGGCGUAAAGGGCAUGUAGGCGGCUUGGAAAGCCUGGCGUGAAAGUCUGCAGCUUAACGUCAGGGGUGCGCUGGGAACUGCUGAGCUUCAGUGACGGAGAGGGAGCUGGAAUUCCUGGUGUAGGGGUGAAAUCUGUAGAGAUCAGGAAGAACACCGAUGGCGAAGGCAAGCUCCUGGCCGAUGACUGACGCUGAGGUGCGAAAGUGUGGGGA
rnacentral:rRNA from 1 species